UCUGGGAGAGAGGUCAUGUGAGAGGCGCGCAGGGAUCACGUGAUAGGACCGCUUCCUGGAGCCAGACUGCACAUGCGCCCUGAAGUCCGAGUGACAGCUUCCCCAGGCCGGUGGGUGCGGCCCGCGUGAGUUUCAGGAUCUGAAACCAUGGGCAGAAGCACAAAUGGGGAGUCGACUCUCUUUCAUCUCAACCAUUUGCAGAAGUAUCAUUAUCUCUGGUGGGAAACGGAGUCUCCAAGAGGUUCAAGUGACUCUCCCUGGGUGAGCACAUCAAAGUUCUUCCGGUCCCUAACCUUUAAUUAGACACUUUUCUGAAGCGUGAAGCUGGGCUAUACUUGUCAGAACAGACACCAGAGGAGCACCUGGGUGGCUCAGUCAUUAGGUGUCUGCCUUUGGCUCCAGUUGUGAUCCUGGGGUCCUGGGAUUGAGCCCUGCAUCAGGCUCCCUGCUAAGCAGGGAGCCUGCUUCUCCCCCUCCCUCUGCCACUCCCCCUCCUUGUGUUCCCUCUCUCGCCAUCUCUCUGUCAAAUAAAUAAAUAAUUUUUUAAAAAGAACAUAAACAAUCUUUUUGUGAUACUUGUCUAAGUCCAGGAACUUCAGUAUA